rnacentral:rRNA from 1 species
UACAGAGGCCUCGAGCGUUAGGCGGAAUCACUGGGCUUAAAGCGCGUGUAGGCGGCUCGGUAAGUCUGCUGUGAAAGUCCAGGGCUCAACCCUGGAAAGCCGGUGGAAACUGUCAAGCUUGAGUCCGGAAGAGGCGAGUGGAAUUCCUGGUGUAGCGGUGAAAUGCGCAGAUAUCAGGAGGAACACCAAUGGCGAAGGCAGCUCGCUGGGACGGUACUGACGCUGAGACGCGAAAGCGUGGGGAGCAAACAGG